GGGGCCGACUUGGAAUUGACAGCUUGUGUAUUGUAAGCGUAAGCACGUCGGGAGAUGGAUGCUCCUCCUGAAAUUAAUGCAUUCACAAUUAUAAUUGGCGAAAGAAAUUACGCCCUAGCUGCCUAAUUAAGAAUUAGAUAGCUUAGUGUCUCGCAAAUCCUAUCUUUCUGCAGGAUUUGCAACCGAGGCAUCACAAAGCAGAAAUAGUCAUUGUAAGGGCACGGUACAGUGGCGAAACAAAGUGUCUAAGGUUGAGUAUUGGUUUGAUAUGCACCUGUCUCAACUCGAAAAUCCAAGCAUGCUCUAAACGUGUAGAAAGCUCUUGCUUUCCUUGUCUGGACGAGGGUUCAAAUCCCUCCGGCUCCACAA
rnacentral:tmRNA from 1 species